rnacentral:lncRNA from 1 species
GUUUUCCUCAUCUUAUUACCUAUGUGAGACAAGGCAGGAAAAGAAAACUGAACCCUAACCCAAAAGAUGAGAACAGAGAUGAUACUAACACUCAAACUGAGGCUUUGUACUUGUCAACUGUCACAGCUUCAAGAGACAGUGAGAUUUGGUUCUGUGAAAACUCUUCAUCUUAGAUGCCAUAAUUUGCACUUCUUGUAUCUGUUUUUGGGGACUUCAAAGGAAAUUACAGCACUUUAACCUUGGGAUAAACAGUGAACUCAUGGGGAUGUACUUGCACUUCGGCAAUGGAAAGCCAUGCCUCUUCAGAUAUCUUGAAGUUACUGGGAAUUAUGCUGUCAUGAGAUGUGGUUUACCACUGUGAAGAGGUCAUCUGAGUGCCUUUGAUACACUUUACUUUUGGACUUACUGUUGCUCAAGGAAUUUUUGUUUAAGAAUGCCCUUAUUAACUGCUUCAGUCUAAGGAAUGGUGCUUGGAUUCAAACAUUUUGUGUGAAUU